AGCGAACGUUGGCGGCGCGCUUAACACAUGCAAGUCGUACGCGAAAGGGGGCAACCCUGAGUAGAGUGGCGCACGGGUGCGUAACACGUAGGCAAUCUGCCCUAUGGAGGGGGAUAACCAUCCGAAAGGAUGGCUAAUACCGCGUAAGACCACGACUGCUUCGGCAGAUGCGGUCAAAGUUGGCCUCUACUUGUAAGCUAACACCAAAGGACGAGCCUGCGGCCCAUCAGCUAGUUGGUAGGGUAACGGCCUACCAAGGCUAAGACGGGUAGCUGGUCUGAGAGGAUGAUCAGCCACACUGGCACUGAAACACGGGCCAGACUCCUACGGGUGGCAG
rnacentral:rRNA from 1 species